CGGGUGCACUGAUCCGGCCGGGCCUUUCCCUCUGUGGAACCCCAUGGCCUUCACUGGCUGUGCGGGGGAAACAGGACUUUUACUGUGAAAAAAUUAGAGUGCUCCAGGCAGGCCUAUGCUCGAAUACAUUAGCAUGGAAUAAUAGAAUAGGACGCGUGGUUCUAUUUUGUUGGUUUCUAGGACCGCCGUAAUGAUUAAUAGGGACAGUCGGGGGCAUCAGUAUUCAAUUGUCAGAGGUGAAAUUCUUGGAUCUAUUGGAGACUAACUACUGCGAAAGCAUUUGCCAAGGAUGUUUUCAUUGAUAAGGAACGAAAGUUAGGGGAUCGAAGACGAUCAGAUACCGUCGUAGUCUUAACUAUAAACUAUGCCGACUAGGGAUCGGACGAUGUUAUUUCUUGACGCGUUCGGCACCUUUCGAGAAAUCAAAGUGCUUGGGCUCCAGGGGGAGUAUGGUCGCAAGGCUGAAACUUAAAGAAAUUGACGGAAGGGCACCACCAGGGGUGGAACCUGCGGCUUAAUUUGACUCAACACGGGGAAACUCACCAGGUCCAGACACAGUGAGGAUUGACAGAUUGAGAGCUCUUUCUUGAUUCUGUGGGUGGUGGUGCAUGGCCGUUCUUAGUUGGUGGAGUGAUUUGUCUGCUUAAUUGCGAUAACGAACGAGACCUUAACCUGCUAAAUAGCCCGUACUGCUCUGGCAGUUCGCCGGCUUCUUAGAGGGACUAUCGG
rnacentral:rRNA from 1 species